GGUACAGUCGACGUUUCAGGCCGAGACCCUUCGUCAGGACCUCUUCCUAGAGAUGCCGCCUGGCCUCCUGCGUUCACCGGCAACUUUGAUGUGUGUUGCUUGAAUUUCCGGCAUCUGCAGAAUUCCUGUUGUUUACAUAAAGGAAGAUGUUUCUGAUUUCAUCCUAACUUCAAGAUGUCAUUCUAAAAGAUCCUCAGGCUCAUUGAAGAAGAAGGGGAAAUGGAUACUCCCUCCUUGAGGAUAUGGACUUUACACUACAUCCACAAUUGUACUUCAGCGGAGAUUGGCUACACUAAGAGGAAUUUGGGAGCUCAUUCAUUGCAGCUCUGAGAUGUUGAAGCAACAUUUCAGUAUUUGGAAGGCAGAUUGACUUCAGACUAAUGUAAAGACCUGAGGCAUGUGUUUGUCAGGAAGGACUAAAGAGGAAGUGGAUCACACUAAGAAAAGAUACUAUUCUUCAGUGGAAAUGUUACAGGCCGUGGGGACCUUCAUAUGUUUUUAAUAUUUCAG